rnacentral:rRNA from 1 species
UUAGUUCGUGGAGUGAUCUGUCUGCUUAAUUGCGUUUCAAAAUUUAAACCUGAGCGACAAGGUGCUGCUAUCGAAACUGUCUUUGAGUGUGAACUAUAAGUCUUUUGACUUAUGACCAUCACUCUAGACGUUUAUGUUUUGGUGUUGGCCCUUGAUGCUCAUUUGAACGCAACGGACGUGAUUGCAACCCCUUGUUGAGAUUUAUCCGAUCUCUACGUUCACUGAACCACACUCUUUAGCGAGAGCAGUGGGGAUGUGGAUAAACUCGGGGGACUGCUGACUAUAAACUUUUCUCAAACCAGAGGAAGGUUGCGGCAAUAACAGGUCUGUGAUGCCCUCAGAUGUUCCGGGCUGCACACGUGCUACAUUUAGUAGCGCAGUGUGCACAUUAAUAGAGUGAUAGGUUCCGUGGUUUGUACAUUUUAAGGGCUCGUCCUAGUAACCAAAGCUCCACGGGACAUAUCAACCUUCCCCUUACAGGGCGGGUAACCUCUUCGAAGUGCUGGCAUGAUUUCCCUAGUUUUGGCAUUUGAAUCCUUGUCGCAGCAGCCCUGAGACGUAGUGAACGCUGCAAAGUGAUUCCAGUCUUAGGUUUGCGACACAUGCAAUUCCUGGUUGACUCAUCGUGGGGA